GUAUAUUAAAGUUGUUGCAGUUAAAAAGCUCGUAGUUGGAUUUCUGGCAGGAGUGACUGACCACAAACUCUGUUUGUGAGUUGUGUCAUUCUGGCCAUCCUUGGUAAGAUCCUUUUUGGCAUUAAGUUGUCGGGAAGGGGAUGACCAUCGUUUACUGUGAAAAAAUUAGAGUGUUUAAAGCAGGCUUAUGCCGUUGAAUAUAUUAGCAUGGAAUAAUAAGAUAGGACUUUGAGUCUAUUUUGUUGGUUUGCGAGUCAAAGUAAUGAUUAAUAGGGACAGUUGGGGGUAUUCGUAUUUCAUUGUCAGAGGUGAAAUUCUUGGAUUUCUGAAAGAC
rnacentral:rRNA from 1 species